rnacentral:rRNA from 1 species
CCUACGGGCGGCUGCAGUGAGGAAUAUUGGUCAAUGGGCGCAAGCCUGAACCAGCCAAGUCGCGUGCGGGAAGACGGCCCUACGGGUUGUAAACCUCUUUUGCCGGGGAGCAAGCCUGAGCACGUGUGCCCAGGCGGAGAGUACCCGGAGACAAAGCAUCGGCUAACUCCGUGCCAGCAGCCGCGGUAUGACGGAGGAUGCGAGCGUAAGCCGGAUUUUUUGGGUUUAAAGGGUGCGCAGGCGGGCGGUUAAGCAGGGGGUAAAAAUUCAGGGCUCAACCCUGUCGAGCCGUCGGAACUGGCAGUCUGGAGUGGGCGGGAAGUAGGCGGAAUGCGGGGUGUAGCGGUGAAAUGCAUAGAUAGCACGCAGAACGCCGAUUGCGAAGGCAGCAUACCGGCGCCCAACUGACGCUGAGGCACGAAAGCGUGGGGAUCGAACAGGAUUAGAUACCCCUGUAGUC